rnacentral:lncRNA from 1 species
UACCAUGGAGUGAACUGCUUCCUCCACCACCUGCCCCAGCCACGAUGUUCUGCCUCACCAUAGGCUCACCAGCCUCAAAAGCAGUAGGACCAGCCUAUCAUAGGAUGCCCGCAAAACGGAUGUUUAUCGCUGUACCAAUACCAGAGAAGCUUGGGCUUCUCCAAGAGAGACGGAAUGUGAGUUAUACUUUCUGGGAGCAUCUCAGAAGUGGGGUCCGAGUCCCAGGAUCUUUCUGUGACUAUGGUUUUCAGGGAUCAGUGGAAGACACGGGAACCGGAGUGGUCACAUUUCAGGAUUCUGAAGACAGAAGAAUUACGAGGGGGUUCGUGGAAAUGGCUCAGUGAGGAUGGACAGCUAAGUUCAAUUCCUGGAGCCUAGGGUAGAAGAAGAGAAUUGACUUCACCAUCUGAGCACUAACCUCGCGGGCACGCUGGGCUGCACGUGAACCACCCCC